AGUGCUCUCUCAAUGAGGAGUCUCAUCAGCCUUUUAGAGUAGAAGAUGAAUUCGUCUCUGCUUGUCUCUUUAUUCCUAUAACACAUUAAUUAUAAUCACAGUACAUUUGCUGAAACCCAAGCCUGUGAGGAUAUUCUAGUCUAAUGAUGGCAUACUUGCACUUCUGAAAUAACACACAUUGUGACCAUGGAACAGCUGAGCAGCCAACUGUCCAAUUACAUCUGGUCCCUGCUGUGAUUCCUGCACUGUUCAUUGGAUUUUUAUGUAAAUAUACACUAAUUAAAACAAGGCCUGCACUUCUUAUUCAUAUUUUCAUAUUCAUAAUUUAAUUUCAACUCCAAUAUAUUUUUGUACACAAAUAAAAUAACAAUAACUUUGACCGUCCAAAUAUUUCUGGACCUGCAUAUAUAUAAUUGAUGUAUUUUAUUAAACUGUUAUCAUAUUCAUUUAUUCUGUUGCUUUAUAUAUGCUAAGUAAACAGUAACCAUCUUAAUAGUGGCAAUGGAUAACUCUAAUCCCACUGUGGCAUAUCAAAUUAAAAUGUGGGUCACAAAUGCCAUUAACAGGGCUGAAGGUUUGUAGGUAUGUUUAGCUGUGUCUGACCUGAUAAUGGUGUGCAUACCGCGGACCUGCGGUGUGCUCUCCAAAACACAGAGAGUUUGGGGUAGGGGCUGAGCUUGAUGGGCAGAAGCCAGUGCCGCCCUGUUACCAUGGCCACCAAGAGAAACAGGAAGUGGUCAGUGGAACGUCACACUCAAACUGGGCCACCAAGAAAUGCAAAUACACAUGGGCAUUUCUACACACACAUCUCUCUCCCUCUCAAAAAAAACACACACAAACACAAGUCAUGUUAACAAAAAUAAUUUAGAGCAUUACUGGGCAGUUAGUUGCUUGUAGGGCAAAAGUACAAAUGAAGCAGCAAAUACAGUCAGUUAAGAACAGUCACUAACAUUGGCACAUUGGCAGAACAGGGGCUCUUACCACAAACUACCUGACAAAUGUUCCUGAGCAUCAAUAGUUAUUGAAAUGCCCUGCCAUCAGUUAAGUAUUAUCAGCUGUAUAUAUGAUCAGGCAUAACAUUAUGACCACUGAGAGGUGCCGUGAAUAACACUCAUCAUCUCCUCAUCAUGGCACCAGUUUGCAAGUGAAUGUUUUGUCCUCAACAAGGGCCAAAUUAUGAUGGCUAGACGACUGGAUCAGAGGAUCUCCAAAACUGCAGUUCUUGUGGGGUGUUCCCGGUUUGCAGUGGUCAGUAUCUAUCAAAAGUGGUCCAAGGAAGGAACAGUGGUGAACCAGCGACAGGGUCAUGGGCGGCCAAGGCAUAUUGAUACAUGUGGGGUGCGAAGCCUGGCCCAUGUGGUCCAAUCCAACAGGCUAAUGCGUCGUGCCACAUAGCAAAAAUGGUUCAGGAAUGGUUUGAUGAGCACAACAACGAGUUUGAGUUGUUGACUUGGCCUCCAAAUUCCCCAGAUCUCAAUCCAAUCGAGCAUCUGUGGGAUGUGCUGGACAAACAAGUUCAAUCAAUGGAGGCCCAAACUCGCAACUUACAGGACUUAAAGGACCUGCUGCUAACAUCUUAGUGCCAGAUAACACAGCACACCUUCAGAGACCUAGUGGAGUCCAAGCUUCAAUGGGUCAGGGCUGUUUUGGCAGCAAAAGGGGGACCACCACAAUAUUAGACAGGUGGUCAUAAUGUUAUGUCUGAUCGGUAUGUAUCUCACCACUGAUUAAUUAUAUGUUCCAAGUUAGUCAGUCAAACAGUGCAUAUUGCAUUUUGUCAGAGCAAAAUGAUAAGUCAUAAAAAGCUUAUAUAAAUCACACACUUAAAUAAAAUGUUAGAUGAAUUCAGGUAUAUUGGGACAGAAAGUCUCAUCAGGGACUUGUUUAUUUUCUAAACUUUUUUUGUUUAAACAAAUGUGAACAUCUUACCAUCACACCCACAUCAUCACAAUGUGCUUCUUGAAUAUUCCAUGCCAAAAGCAAGGAAAGUCAUAUAGAGGUAGCCCCCUCUUUGUUGCUAUAGCAGCCUCCACUUUUCAGGGAAGGUUUUCCACUAGAUUCUCGUAUGUCGGAAUAUACACUGGACCACAAUUCAGCUCAAUAUGACUUAUGGAUCCUGAAUUUGGUAUGCAAAUACCUGCAACCAAUCAUGAGUUUGAAGCUUGAAUAAAUUAGGCCCCACCUUAGAUGAAUUGACUGGCAUAUGAUGGCUAUAUUGUUUACAAAUGUCAACUUCUUUUUGAUAAUUAUUGAGUGUAAUACAUGCUAAGUAGUUAACACCAUACUUGUGAAGACAGGCCAGGACAGGGUUGGCAAAGUAAGUUUUACAUAUUAUCAUAAAUUGCGUGGACAAAGUUAAAUGGUCCAAAAUGACCCCAGUGGUCAAUUUUUGCAAGAAUGUAUCGGUCAUAACCUAAAACUACCAUUCAGGAUUUGUGACAUAAGCUCAAUGUUAAAACAGCAAAAUGGCUGCUGGCUUAAAUAUGAUUGGCUAAGUAAAAUUAAUCAGGUCAUCAUCAAUAAUUCACUUUUGAAAAUCCAGUUUCACAUUCUUCCAAAAAAACUGACAUCACUUUUAGCAGAUUGGGCUACAAGCCUAGAACAAGUACACAACUUUUUAUAUGCUAUGUAAAUUCUUUCUUUCAAAUCUUAAAUUGAAGCGAAAACUACAAACUACAACAUCCAAAAGGCAAAGUUCUUGAUUCUGUGUUUUCAGCCACAGAAUCAGCAUAAUGAAGAAGAGUUAUGGUACACCUUAUUUUACAAGAUAUAAUUCUGUAAAUGUGCAAACACAUGUAGAGCCCCCUUGUGGCCAAUAUGCUUUUAAAUUUAAAAGUUGGUCAUAAAAGAAACCUACCUUUCAAGCCUUGUUGAUCUUUCAAGCUCACAGUUAAGCCUUUUCCAAAGCUGACCGGUCAAUGGCCACCAUGCUUUUUGAAUAACUGGGCCAUCAUCAUAUCUCUUAUGGAUUAAUGCAUAGAUGAAGUAUAUCAAAAUUCAUACUCACUCGCACUUUUGGUUCUGGAGAAACAGUUAUCUGACCUUAGCUACACCCCCUAUGUAUGACCACACCCCAGAAUUUGCUCCUAACCUCAGUGCUCUCUGUAGACCAACUGAGUUCUUCUGCACCAAUCUUAAGCACACAAUUUCUUUAUUGACCUUCAAUUGUGCAAAGGGUGAUGCUGAAACAGAUUUGGGCUAGGCCUCUUUAAUUCUAGGGAAAUCCUAACUGCAAAAUGCAAGUCAUUUCAGACAACCGUGUGCUUCCAACAUUGCGACAACUAUUUGGGGAAGACCCACAAAUCGAAGUGAUGCUCAGAUGUCCACAUACAUCAUGUAGUGUAUGUUACUUAGCCCUUUCAGUGGAAGAACCUAAUAGAAAUAAUAUUAAUUAAUUUGUGCGAUAUCAAAUAAGAAGGUAUUUGUAAGCAUUAAAGAGGAAGGUGAUCCCUAAAAUCAUGGAGUAGGAAAAAUACCAUACCCUUAGCUUUUUUUUCCAUAAGGUUAUGCUAUUGUCAUGAAUAAUUUAUUCACAUAUUCAUGACUCAUAUGUACUACUGUAACAACAUUUUACAUUUACAGUAUUUGCCAGAUGCCCUUAUCCAGUGACUUACAUUUAUCUAAUUUUUAUACAAUGGAGGCCCAGAGGCAGUAGCUUGCUCGACCUAGGAUUCAAAUUCACAACUUUCCAAAAAGUAGUCCAAUAUAAUUAGAUUAUUACUGAAAGUGACUCAAUUCAUAACGCUAUAGCAAGUCACCAAAAUAUUACUUUGACAAAAGUAUAAGCCAUGCAUCAUCAGAUCAUGAAAAACUAUAUAUCUUUAUAUGUAUGUAGUCAUUACAUUGUAGAUUUUUUAUAGCAAUAAUAUAGAAACUCAAUGUGUCCCAGAAUAUCUGAAUUCAUCCUGCUGUAUGCCAUAUGCAACUAUUUAAGAUAUCACGCAUCCAGUUAUAUACAACUUGCAACAUUUGACUUGACCAUAUCAAAAUCACACUUCUGGCUGCAGAUAUGCUCUCACUAUAAUAAUUUAAAGCAAGUGAUGAUAAAUAAAAAUGACAUGCAAAUCUCACAUAUCCCAGCGGAGUUUCCUCUAUUGAUGGAGAACAAACAAACAAAACAAAAACAGAAAUGACAACAAGUAGAGAGGGAAAAGAUAGACAUCACAUUAUUCAAAAGGUGAUAAAGUGA